GGCCUCUCUACUUAAAGAAAAUAACUUUUGGACCUAGCUAUUUCAAACUUAUUUCUCAGUAAAUUUAUCCCAAUUAGCCAUUCUUUCAUUUAGUAAAAAUAGUCAAAACAAGUUUGUCUUGAUGGCAGUAAAUUUUAAAAACAUCCCAUUGUAGCUGGGUGUGGUGGCACAUAGCUGUUCUGAGACCAACAGAGGCUGCGUGGCAAGACACUGCUUCAACAAGUGAACACAAAAACCAAGAAAGAGUGCUCUACCAACCAACUUAGCUGACUCAUUAGUCAUUAUUAUAAUAGUUAAAACCAUAGAGAUAGAUUAUGGUCUGAUAGAGAGUCAGGCCAUGCUCGACAGUCCUAAAAAAAACAAAAGCAAACUCCACUAUAAAACCUUGGCUUCUGAUAAUACUAGCAAUUGAUUCCCAUUGUGUUCUUGGAACAGAUUUUAUUUUAAACAUUAAUUUCAGUAUUUUUCAAAGGUUUGUUUUUUCUUUUACGGGUACAUGACUACAUUUCAGUGUAUGUUGGUUGGUUGGUUGGUUGGUUGGUUGGUUGGUUGAUUUUUAAUUUAAAUUAGGAUACCCUUUCUCUUCCAGAAACAUGAUCAAGUCCUUCUACACUGCCAGCCUUUUAAUAGAUGUCAUCACAGUGUUUGGUGAACUCACAGAUGAAGUGAGUAUAUGCUUUUACCUGUCUUAUAGCUGAUGACGAGUAAUGUCACUUGUUACCAGUUUUCUCAUUGCAUCAUUGAUUUAGAAAAGCAUGUCUGUCAGAACAGUAAUGGAAACAAAAAAAAAGGUAUUUUUUUUUCUAAAUAUGUUUUGAAAAUCAAAUGAAAUACUUUCCACACAGGAUAACAAUACUUUGAAAAAUAACUUGAUUUUUCACUUAAAAAAAGGAGAGAGAUAGACAAACCAGAAAAUAAUGUAAUGGAAUAUUCAAGAGCUUAAAGAAAAGGAAUGGGGGGCAGAAAUUACAAAAUUGUUCCCCAGAAUUCUAUUGAUAGCAUGUAAUAUUUACUUGAGAAAAAUAAGCGAUGGGCAGGAGAGGCAGCUCAGCAGUUAGGUGCACUGGCUGCUCUUUCUAAUGUGAAAGUAUAGAAAAAGACAUGUCCCAUAAAUACUAAGUGACCAGAAGGCAAGUAGCAAUAAUAAACAAAGUCAGCUUUAAAGAACGUAUUAGUGAUGGCAAAACAAGACAUCUCAUAGUAGUCAUGGGUCGCUUCAUGAAGAAUAUUCACAUGCUUAAAGAUUGAUCCCAUGUGUAACUGUACUGUGAAAAUGUACAGUUACAAGUGUCUGUAUACUUAAUAAUAGGAUUUUCAAAUUACAUGAAAUCCUUAAAAAUGUAUUAUCAUUGUUGGAGAGUUUAAAAACCUCAGUCACUGAUUAAAAAAAGCAAACACUUUCUUUAACAAUCAGUAAAAUUAACCAGACAAAUAAGGACUGGCCAUGGAAUGUUUAGAAUGAAGAAAAACCAGACCUUUCAGACUUAGCUUAGUGGAAAUGUUAGAUGUUACAGCUGCUUAGUGGAAAGAAUUGGCAGAUUUUAUAAAAUUAAACAGACUCCCACCUUUUUACCCAGCAAUUCCUUUUCUGAUACUUACCC
rnacentral:lncRNA from 1 species